rnacentral:rRNA from 1 species
GUUGAUGGCCAUGCCACCCUGAACAAGCCCAAUCCCGUCUGAUCUCAGAAGCUAAGCAGUGUCGGGCCUAGUUAGUACUUGGAUGGAAGACCACCUAGGAAGACCAGGUGCUGUAGGCA